UGGGAGCUACCAUGCAGUCGAGCGGAGAGUGGAGCUUGCUCCAUGAUUCAGCGGCGGACGGGUGAGUAAUGCCUAGGAAUCUGCCUGGUAGUGGGGGACAACGUUUCGAAAGGAACGCUAAUACCGCAUACGUCCUACGGGAGAAAGCAGGGGACCUUCGGGCCUUGCGCUAUCAGAUGAGCCUAGGUCGGAUUAGCUAGUUGGUGGGGUAAAGGCCUACCAAGGCGACGAUCCGUAACUGGUCUGAGAGGAUGAUCAGUCACACUGGAACUGAGACACGGUCCAGACUCCUACGGGAGGCAGCAGUGGGGAAUAUUGGACAAUGGGCGAAAGCCUGAUCCAGCCAUGCCGCGUGUGUGAAGAAGGUCUUCGGAUUGUAAAGCACUUUAAGUUGGGAGGAAGGGCAGUAAGUUAAUACCUUGCUGUUUUGACGUUACCAACAGAAUAAGCACCGGCUAACUUCGUGCCAGCAGCCGCGGUAAUACGAAGGGUGCAAGCGUUAAUCGGAAUUACUGGGCGUAAAGCGCGCGUAGGUGGUUUGGUAAGAUGGAUGUGAAAUCCCCGGGCUCAACCUGGGAACUGCAUCCAUAACUGCCUGACUAGAGUACGGUAGAGGGUGGUGGAAUUUCCUGUGUAGCGGUGAAAUGCGUAGAUAUAGGAAGGAACACCAGUGGCGAAGGCGACCACCUGGACUGAUACUGACACUGAGGUGCGAAAGCGUGGGGAGCAAACAGGAUUAGAUACCCCUGGUAGUCCACGCCGUAAACGAUGUCGACUAGCCGUUGGGGAUCCUUGAGAUCUUAGUGGCGCAGCUAACGCGAUAGUCGACCGCCUGGGAGUACGCGCAGAUAAACUCAAUGAUGACGGGGCCCGCACAGCGGUGGAGCAUGUGAUUAUUCGAGCACGCGAGACUAACUAGCUGACAUGUCGACUUGCUGGAUGCAAGGUGCUUCAGAAUCGGAACACAGGCUGCUGCGUUCGUCCACUCUGUCCUGGAAGUGGUUAAUCGUAAAGGCAACUUGCUUUGUACGACCUGUGGCCUUAAGAAGCCGUCAAC
rnacentral:rRNA from 1 species